CAUGAACGCUGGCGACAGGCCUAACACAUGCAAGUCGAACCAGUCGCGGACGGGUGAGUCAUAUCUGGGAAACUGCCUGAUGGAGGGGGAUAAAGCCUGGACCAGGUGGCUAGUACCGCAUACCAUCGGAUGUUCCCGGAUGGGAUUAGCUAGUAGGUGGGGUAAAGGCUCACCUAGGCGACGAUCCCUAGCUGGUCUGACAGGAUGACCAGCCAAACUGGAACUGAGACACGGCCCAGACUCCUACGGGAGGCAGAAGUUGGGAAUAUUGCACAAUGGGCGCAAGCCUGAUGCAGCCAUGCGGCGUGUAUGAAGAAGGCCUUCGGGUUGUACAGUACUUGCAUCGGGGAGGCGGUACCCGCAGAAGAAGCACCGGCUAACUCCGUGCCAGCAGCCGCGGUAAUUC
rnacentral:rRNA from 1 species